UAGAAAUCAAGGGCCGGGGAAGAGAAUAGCAUUCUGAUGCUGUGAUACAAAGUGGGGGCCAUCCACAUCACGUGUUUCACCAUUUUAACCAAAGCUGAACCUGAAAAAGACUAUGGUUUCAGGAAGGGUGGUGAUACAGGAGCUAAAAAGAAAUUAUUUAGGCAGUUAGUGAGGGUAAGAGAGUCUUUGGUAAGGCUUCCAUUUUAACGAAAAGCAGCCCAAAAUUAUUUCUUUUCUGACAAAGAGCACCCUGUAAAAUCAAGCUGCAGAUAUAGAUAAGCAAGCUGGAAGCUUUCGCGGGUGAAUGCCGGCAGCUGUGCCAAUCGGAAAAGGCUACCUGCGGGCCAGGCAUGUUCAACACGGCAGCUCCAUCUCCCCUUUUCCUUGUCAACCAUGUGUAUG
rnacentral:lncRNA from 10 species